rnacentral:lncRNA from 1 species
AAUGUGCUUCUGGGGUGAAUUGUAUUCGUCUCUUAAAAACUGAAAAGUAUUUUAUUACCGUUAAGAUGUCCUUCAUCCGUAACGCAAUCACUGACCGAAAUCGCUGUUGUUUAAAUAUGGUGCGUUAUGUUUAUAUGUCACUCACUACAAUGAACGUCAUGAACCCAAAAACAUCGAUAGAGUUCCGCCAACCAGCGUUUACAUGAAGCAGAAUAAAAUUAAGUUAAUGUAAAACUUGUUAAUCGCGUUAAACGCGGAAAAUAGGCUACGGGCAAAACCUUUAGAAUUAAUCGGGUGUCAACGCGCCAUUUUUCCACAGCUCAAAAUAUGAAGUAAAGAAGAAUCAGAAGACUGUUUGGAGAAUAAAUCUGGUUCCUCCUCAUGUUUCCAGGGAGGCAGCACUAGUUGUGGCACUGGUGAAGACGCAUGUCUAUAGUGCGGCCUGCAGGGUUGGCAAGAGGAUGCAGUGGGGCAUGCAGAUAUGGCAGCGUUAGAGACCCGUCUGUCUCCCUCCCUGGGGCAAGACAGGCAAUUUGUGGCAAAUUUUGCACAUAUGCUCGAUGACAGGCAGCCGGCGUCCUCUGCAGCUGCCAGCAUAGAGAGAUGGCCAGAAAUCCAAGUUAACACGGAUUAAAUUGUCAAAGGAAAGACAUCAGGAGGCAGACAUCUCUAUGAGUUAAUCUUCUCACCCACUAAUGAGUCUUCUACUGGAUUGCUUAAAUUAAAAGCAAAUCUGAAGAGUGAUUUGGCAUGCUUGCUGAGAGCCUGUCCCACUACAUAACGCAUGAAGUGAUUUGAUUUUGCUCUCAUUACUGUAAUAAUGCCCUGUUAGGACAAAACAAUGAAAUGACCAGGUUAUCCGGAUAUUAAACAGUUCCUGUUCGGAGCUCCGUCAACAGGGUGGCAAAGCCAGCUGAACAAAAGAAUGAAGACUUUGGGAGAGGGCUGUAAGAUUUAGGGCUUGAGUACUACUUGAGCUGUUUGAUAUAAUUUAUUAUUUACUGACUUGACGUUCCACUGCUGUAAAUGUCAGCUGAACUGUACAAUGUCUUUAACAAGCUCUGAAUGCUAUUUCUCUCAAAACAUGAUUGGAACAGCUUUUCUAGUAAAAGCUCCUCUCCUGUCGCUUUUUAAUAUUGAAUAAACACUAUAACACAGUGACAGGCUUAUGUUAAGGGCUCUUUACAAUGAGAAAGCAGAAAUAUGUUUUUGUUAUACUUCUGAUUAAAAUUGAGAUCAUAUGAUUGCUGCUUUAGCGCUGAUCUUUGCUCUGCCGGCUGGCUUCCUGAUGCAUG